rnacentral:lncRNA from 1 species
CUGUAUUAGAAACAUAGAGUUGCAUCAGAUGAUAUGAAUCUGAUCAGGGAGUGCAACUCAAUGCUGGUUGCAAUUACUGUAUGGCUGUCCACCUCUGGUUGUCCCAUACUCCUAGGGUGUAGACUUCUAGGAUUCCCACUGAGAUCCUGAAGUAUUUGCUAGAAUCCCUCUUCACUGAUAUUCCCAGGCUCUAAUUUCCAUAUCUUUAUCAUGGUCUGUUUAGUCAGUAGAGAAUAAAAAUACACUAAGCUUUUUUUUUUAAAAAAAAAUGCUUUUACCCUUGGGAGUGUCAUGAUCAGGACUAUAUAUGGAGGAGAUUUAGGGAGCUCAAAUAGGAGGUUAUAGUAAUAGUCUGGAUAUGAGUUAAUGAAGGCUGCUGAUACAGGAAGUUGGAAACAGGAAUGUACAUGAAGAGACAGAUACGGAACCUCUUAUGGAAGAAGAGAGGGAGGGGAUUAUCUACAAGAAGAAAAGUGGGGCUUUUGCUUUAUCCCCUAGUCCCAACACACUCACUGCGGACCAAUUAUUUUCACACACUAACAAGCGUAACCCUGGAACAUGAGGAUGUUGACAUGACCUGUAUACAGUUAUGAGACUGGUUGUUAUUGUUGUUCUCCUGACAAAAUAUGAGGAAGGAGAAAUGUGCUGAACAUUGAAGGAUUCCGCUCUGGGAAUCAAAUUGGAAUACUGACUUCAUGGAAAUGAUUGUUUCCAAUCCUGCUGCUGGAGGAUGUGAUCUUCCAGAACCUAAACUGGGCUUGGGGACUAAGAGUGUGUAAGUGAUACCUCAAAAUCCGUCCCAGC